GCUUAGCCCUUAACAUAGACAGUACUACACACAAUACUGUUCGCCAGAGAACUACAAGUGAAAAGCUAGAAACUCCAAGGACUUGGCGGUGCUCCAUACCGACCUAGAGGAGCCUGUCCUAUAAUCGAUAAUCCACGCUUUACCUCACCACUUCUUGCAACUCAGCCUAUAUACCGCCGUCGUCAGCCCACCUUAUGAAAGAAACAAAGUGGACAAAAUAGUUAACAACAAAAACGUCAGGUCAAGGUGUAGCACAUGAAGUGGAAGAGAUGGGCUACAUUUUCUAACAUAGAACACACGAAUAACACAGUGAAACCUGCAUUUAAAGGCGGAUUUAGCAGUAAGACAAACAAGAAACUUUGUCUUAACCCCGCUCUGGAGCGCGC
rnacentral:rRNA from 1 species